UACGUAGGCAGCGAGCGUUGUUCGGAGUUACUGGGCGUAAAGAGUGCGUAGGCGGUGCCCUAAGUCUGGUGUGAAAUCUCCCGGCUCAACCGGGAGGGUGCGCCGGAAACUGGGGUGCUCGAGUGUGGGAGAGGCGGGCGGAAUUCCCGGUGUAGCGGUGAAAUGCGUAGAUAUCGGGGAGGAACAUCUGUGGCGAAGGCGACACCCUGGACCAGCACUGACACUGAGGCACGAAAGCGUGGGGAGCAAACAGG
rnacentral:rRNA from 1 species